GGAAAUGCAUGAAACAGUCCGUAACCCGGACUUAAAAUCCGCUGGCCGCAAGGCCGUGCCGGUUCGAUUCCGGCCGUCCCCACCA
rnacentral:tRNA from 1 species